UACGUAGGGGCAAGCGUUAUCCGGAUUUACUGGGUGUAAAGGAGCGUAGGUGGUGUGGUAAGUCAGAUGUGAAAGCCCGGGGCUCAACCCCGGGACGUGCAUUUGUAAACUAGCCAUGCCGGAGUGCAGGAGAGGUAAGUGGAAUUCCUAGUGUAGCGGUGAAAUGCGUAGAUAUUAGGAGGAACACCAGUGGCGAAGGCGGCUUACUGGACUGUAACUGACACUGAGGCUCG
rnacentral:rRNA from 1 species